GACAGAGGGGGCAAGCGUUGCUCGGAAUCACUGGACGUAAAGGGUGCGUAGGCGGGUCUUUAAGUCAGGGGUGAAAUCCUGGAGCUCAACUCCAGAACUGCCUUUGAUACUGAAGAUCUUGAGUUCGGGAGAGGUGAGUGGAACUGCGAGUGUAGAGGUGAAAUUCGUAGAUAUUCGCAAGAACACCAGUGGCGAAGGCGGCUCACUGGCCCGAUACUGACGCUGAGGCACGAAAGCGUGGGGAGCAAACAGG
rnacentral:rRNA from 1 species